UACGGAGGGUGCAAGCGUUAUCCGGAUUCACUGGGUUUAAAGGGUGCGUAGGUGGGUUGGUAAGUCAGUGGUGAAAUCCCCGAGCUUAACUUGGGAACUGCCAUUGAUACUAUCAGUCUUGAAUACCGUGGAGGUCAGCGGAAUAUGUCAUGUAGCGGUGAAAUGCUUAGAUAUGACAUAGAACACCAAUUGCGAAGGCAGCUGGCUACACGAAUAUUGACUCUGAGGCACGAAAGCGUGGGGAUCAAACAGG
rnacentral:rRNA from 1 species